rnacentral:rRNA from 1 species
GGGGACAGCGGCGAACGGGUGAGUAACACGUGGGUAAUCUACCCUCGGUUCUGGGAUAGCCCGGGGAAACUCGGAUUAAUACCGGAUAGCCUCUCCGGCUCUUGGGCUGGUGAGAAAAGGUAGCUUCGGCCUCCGACUGAGGAUGAGCCCGCGGCGGAUUAGCUUGUUGGCGGGGUAACGGCCCACCAAGGCGACGAUCCGUAGCUGGUCUGAGAGGACGAUCAGCCACACUGGGACUGAGACACGGCCCAGACUCCUACGGGAGGCAGCAGUGGGGAAUCUUGCGCAAUGGGCGAAAGCCUGACGCAGCGACGCCGCGUGAGGGAAGAAGGCCUUCGGGUUGUAAACCUCUUUCAGGGGGGACGAAGCCACUCGGGUUAAUAGCCCAGAGGGUGACGGUACCUUCAGAAGAAGCCCCGGCUAACUACGUGCCAGCAGCCGCGGUAAUACGUAGGGGGCAAGCGUUGUCCGGAUUUAUUGGGCGUAAAGAGCGUGUAGGCGGCCAGAUAGGUCGGUUGUGAAAACUGGAGGCUUAACCUCCAGACGUCGACCGAAACCAUCUGGCUAGAGUCCGGAAGAGGAGAGUGGAAUUCCUGGUGUAGCGGUGAAAUGCGCAGAUAUCAGGAAGAACACCCGUGGCGAAAGCGGCUCUCUGGGACGGUACUGACGCUGAGACGCGAA